GAAACCGUUCAGGGGUAAACCUGAGAAACCCAAAAGAUCGAAUGGGGAGAUUCAUCGUCGACGAGGCUGGCUUCCGUUGAUGCGCAGAUAGCCCGCGAACGUACUAUAAUCCGGUAGUUUCGAACGCGAGGGUACACCAUCAGCGGCCUAAAUGUUCCGGCCACGUAGUCGUGCACUUCUCCCUUAGUAGAACGUCGCGACCCGUUGCGUGUCGGUCUACGGCCCGAGCGGUUGCCUGCCGUGUCGCUUCGCGCGCACACGGCAGACCCUCGAUCGCCCGGCCGGCUGCGCGACGGUACUCCGAGACGGUAUAGGGCCGCAGCAAAUCGCAUUUUCGAGUGCGCGUGUGCGUCCGGCUCGUCGCAAGCUCGGUCAGUUUAAAAGCCCGGUGGUACGGACUUUGUGCCGGCUCCGGAUCUGACCAGCUGUUGGCCGACGAUGUCCUCGGACUGGCCAAGCUCUGAAAUACCGGUCAGCGACGCUACUGCUUUGGGUCCUCUCAGGACCCGUCUUGAAACACGGACCAAGGAGUCUAACAUGUGCGCGAGUCAUUGGGACAGAGUAAACCUAAAGGCGCAAUGAAAGUGAAGGUUGAUCGUUUGCAUCGACCGAGGGAGGAUGGGCCGCGUUACGAUGCGGCCUCGCACUCCCGGGGCGUCUCGUUCUCAUUGCGAGAAGAGGCGCACCCAGAGCGUACACGUUGGGACCCGAAAGAUGGUGAACUAUGCCUGGUCAGGACGAAGUCAGGGGAAACCCUGAUGGAGGUCCGUAGCGAUUCUGACGUGCAAAUCGAUCGUCGGAACUGGGUAUAGGGGCGAAAGACUAAUCGAACCAUCUAGUAGCUGGUUCCCUCCGAAGUUUCCCUCAGGAUAGCUGGCACUCGCUCGUUCCUCUUACGGAACGCGUGCGAGUCUCAUCUGGUAAAGCGAAUGAUUAGAGGCCUUGGGGCCGAAACGACCUCAACCUAUUCUCAAACUUUAAAUGGGUGAGAUCUCUGGCUUGCUUGGAUCAAUGACGCCACGAGAUUUCGGAUCAGAGUGCCAAGUGGGCCAAUUUUGGUAAGCAGAACUGGCGCUGUGGGAUGAACCAAACGCAGAGUUAAGGCGCCUAAGUCGACGCUUAUGGGAUACCAUGAAAGGCGUUGGUUGCUUAAGACAGCAGGACGGUGGCCAUGGAAGUCGGAA
rnacentral:rRNA from 1 species